GAUCACCCUCAUACUUAGCAUACCCCUCGUUAUUGAAGCCAAUCUCUUCACCAGAUUCAUUGGUGCCAAAUCCCCUUGGUUUUCCAAAAUAAAUACCUCCAGUAAGCUCCCUUACAACCAUGACAUCGACACCUUCAGCAACCUCUUUUUUCAAAGUUGAAGCAUCCACUAACUGGGGUAAGACAGUAGCUGGCCUCAAAUUUGCAAAGACCUUAAGCCCUUCUCUGAGCUGAAGCAACCCACUCUCUGGCUUCAAAUGUUUUGCAUUAUUAUCCCAUUUAUACCCUCCAAUGGCUCCGAGAAGAACUGCAUCACAUUGUUUAGCAGCAGAAAGGGUUUCCUCUGGCAAUGGAACACCAACUAAAUCCAAAGCAGAUCCACCCAUAGGCAUCUCUUGGAAACUAAACUCAAUGCCUUCGAGAGAGCCAGCAAGCUUAAGGACAUUCUUGGCGACGGAGAUGACUUCGGGGCCGAUGCCAUCGCCGGGGAGGAGAGUGAUGGAGUAGCGUUUCGAUGGCGUGGCGGCGGCGCAGCUAAUUCUAGCAGGUUUAUGGGAGUGUUUGGAAGCUAGUUUAGAAUGGAAAGCAAGUCUGGUUGGCUUAACAUUAAGUUGCAUUGCAGACGCCAUUUGGGCAGGAGAGAGAGAGCAGAGAGAUUUGGGUAUGGAGGCAGACGAGGAAAAGACUGAUGAAUGAGAGCUGCACUGCUGCAGAACUCA
rnacentral:misc_RNA from 1 species